UAUACGACCGUACCGCAAACCGACACUGGUGCGCGAGAUGAGUAUUCUAAGGCGCUUGAGAGAACUCAGGAGAAGGAACUCGGCAAAUUGACACCGUAACUUCGGAAGAAGGUGUGCCCUAUUAGUGUGUAGUGAACAACGAAGCAUGAAUGGGUUGCAAAAAAUCGGUGGCUGCGACUGUUUAUUAAAAACACAGCACUCUGCAAACACGAAAGUGGACGUAUAGGGUGUGACGCCUGCCCGGUGCUGGAAGAUUAAAUGAUGGGGUGCAAGCUCUUGAUUGAAGUCCCAGUAAACGGCGGCCGUAACAAUAACGGUCCUAAGGUAGCGAAAUUCCUUGUCGGGUAAGUUCCGACCUGCACGAAUGGCGUAACGAUGGCCACACUGUCUCCUCCUGAGACUCAGCGAAGUUGAAAUGUUUGUGAUGAUGCAAUCUCCCCGCGGAAAGACGGAAAGACCCCAUGAACCUUUACUGUAGCUUUGUAUUGGACUUUGAACAGAUCUGUGUAGGAUAGGUGGGAGGCUUUGAAGCAGGGUCGCUAGAUCUUGUGGAGCCAACGUUGAAAUACCACCCUGGUGUGUUUGAGGUUCUAACCUAGGUCCAUUAUCUGGAUCGGGGACAGUGCAUGGUAGGCAGUUUGACUGGGGCGGUCUCCUCCCAAAGCGUAACGGAGGAGUUCGAAGGUACGCUAGUUACGGUCGGACAUCGUGACGAUAGUGCAAUGGCAUAAGCGUGCUUAACUGCGAGACUGACAAGUCGAGCAGAUGCGAAAGCAGGACAUAGUGAUCCGGUGGUUCUGUAUGGAAGGGCCAUCGCUCAACGGAUAAAAGGUACUCUGGGGAUAACAGGCUGAUACCGCCCAAGAGUUCAUAUCGACGGCGGUGUUUGGCACCUCGAUGUCGGCUCAUCUCAUCCUGGGGCUGUAGCCGGUCCCAAGGGUAUGGCUGUUCGCCAUUUAAAGAGGUACGUGAGCUGGGUUUAAAACGUCGUGAGACAGUUUGGUCCCUAUCUUCCGUGGGCGCUGCAGAUUUGAGGAAGCCUGCUCCUAGUACGAGAGGACCGGAGUGGACACACCUCUGGUGUAUCGGUUGUCACGCCAGUGGCAUUGCCGAGUAGCUAAGUGUGGAAGAGAUAACCGCUGAAAGCAUCUAAGCGGGAAACUCGUUUCAAGAUGAGAUCUGCCGGGGCCUUGAGCCCCCUAAAGAGUCGUUCAAGACCAGGACGUUGAUAGGUCAGGUGUGGAAGC
rnacentral:rRNA from 1 species